rnacentral:lncRNA from 1 species
CAGCAUGCAGCCUGCCUCCACGGUUGGGCUGCAAGCCAGGGGAGCCGCGGGGUCUGCAACCAGGCUGCCUGCCAUAUGUUGUUUCUUGCAAUUAGCAGGUGCUUGGGGUGUGGGCUGGGCACCCAGAGGGCAAGGCGACUGCCUCUGCCAGGGAAACUCUCGUGAGCCAUACCAAGAGCUCAGGAAGAGAAACAAGGUGGCUGGGGGUUGAUGGGCAACCCCCAGGGCCAGUAAGAUGUGCUGGUCACGAAAGAAAUCUCUGUUUGCAGACAGUUUUAUUCCUGUACAGGUAUUUACAGCUUGCUACUGCAAAUUGAUGGAUCUUUAUUUCUGGAACUGUAGUCAUUCUUGCAGGUCCGUCGGUGCAGACAUUUUGGGAUAGUCCUUUGAUGUCUAUCAUCACACUAUGGAAGAGUGAGCAAAGCUUUCCCAGAAGUUCUGCAGCAGAAUUUCCAUCGUAUUUCAAUGACCAGAGCUGAGUCAUGUGCUUGUGCUUUGAAGAUUGCUUGACAAUGAGAAAAUCACUGUCUGCAGCAUGGAAAAAGAUCCUCACCAGAACCAGAUCAUGUUGGCACCCGAAUCUUGGACUUCCAGCUUCCAGAACUGUAAGAAAUACAUUUCUGUUAUCUGUAAGCCACCCAGUCGAUGGUGUUGUGUUAUGGCAGCCAGAAUGGAGCUGACAGAGUGUUGUUUUAAGGGUGAAAUGAGAUGAUGUAUUAAAGUCUGGUACAGCAUCAAGCUCACAGUAAGUGCCCACUAAAUGGUAGAGACUAUUACUGGGACUGAUUUUCAGUGUCCCCUCCUUUGUGAAGCCUUUUCCAGUCCCGGAUGGAAUGACUGAAGACUCCUUUGAUAGUCUCACACACAGAGUAUAUCUUUAUGUUGCGUGGGAAAAAUGCGGUAUUGGAGUUCAAGCUACAUACCAGCAUUAAACCGAGUUUCCAAAUAGUACUAUUACUUGAUGAUUAGUUGCAGAGAGUUUGGAUUCUUGCAGACAAUGAUUCAAGACUUAGCCCUGCCACUUACAAAAUGUAUACUAUAGUGAUUGAACCUUUAGACUAAGAAUCCCACCUUUACCCUUUCCUGGUUGGGUGAUCUCAGGCAAGUCUUUAAGCCUCUAAGAGCGUGUUUCCUCAUUCAUAAAGCGUGGCUCAGUGGAAACCUACCUCCUGGGGUUGCUGUGAGGAUUAGAAGUGAUAACACAUGUAUAAAGCAUGUUGCAAAGGGUAUUAUCAAGGGUAAUGACUCUUUAAAGCAAAUUUCCUGUAAUCCAAUUCUAGUUGAUUAUGGCUUAAGAUUUUGAGAUCCUCAGUGACAGUGAAUGGGGCAUGUUUCUCUGAUUUCUCAGGACUUGGCAUGCAGUUGGUGCUUAAUUAAUGUCAACUGAACUGAAGAUAACUCUGUUGAAUUUUGAAAAGUGCAGUGGAGGAGAGAGGAGGAAAAAUAUUAUAAGCAGAGUGAAGGCCAAGUCACAAAGCGGUGAUAACAGUGUCAGCUUCUCUAGCAAUAACCUAGUCAAACUUCACAUCAUUUUCUUCAACUUGCUUUUUCCUCGCUCAAGCAUUUCUGGUGUUUAUUGCUCCUAGGAGUGCAAAGAUGAGAAGAGGCUGCCACUCAGCUGCGAUAUAUGAGGACUGACACUGUACCUUCUCUUAAUCUCCUACCUUCUCUCCUCACCCUACUUGCCACUUUUUAAAAUUUUGCUUUAAUGUGAUCAAUAUUAUAAAAUCCAAUAAAGAAAAAGAUUUAAAAAU